CAACUGCUCUGCUACUCUUGGACA
rnacentral:siRNA from 1 species